GCCGGAGGCAAAGUGCGUAGAGGCUCGCGACAAAGCCCCUUGAGGCUUUCUGGAAACCUGCCUGUUUAAAACAGGUUUCCCCGAUCACUUUCAGAUCAGUUGUCUGCCAGUUCCGGAGGUUGGAGUUGUUUCGCUUGGGGGGAAAAGGACUCUUCAUUACAGCGUAGAAACUAGCUGCUUUUUGUGUCCUGAGGGCUACUUAGGACCGAACCUGGCGGGGGCGUUGGACGCGUGUUCCCGACGGAAAUAGGCAAGACCCGGAGAAACUGUUGCGCUUAAGGUUUUGGACACUCUUACAAUGGGUCAAGAAAGACGUUAAUGGACCAGCCUUCGGUUUAUAUGUAGGCAGUGGCAGAACCAGCAACGAAAUCCAGAUGCAGUGACUUCAGAGGAUAGGGCUUCCCUGGUGGCGCAGCGGUUGAGAGUCUGCCUGCCAGUGCAGGGGAUGCGGGUUCGGGCCCUGGUCUGGGAGGAUCCCACAUGCCGCGGGGCAACUGGGCCCGUGGGCCACAACGACUGAGCCUGCGCGUCUGGAGCCUGUGCCCCGCAACAAGAGAGGCCGCGAUGGUGAGAGGCCCGCGCAUCGCGAUGAAGAGUGGCCCCCGCCUGCCUCAACUAGAGAAAGCCCUCGCACAGAAACGAAGA